rnacentral:lncRNA from 1 species
UUUCAUUUCUAUAUUGAUUCCAUUCAACCAGCAAUUUACUAUUCUUAGGAAUAAGGACAAUAUUUCCAAUUCUGGAUUGAACAAUUCAACAUAUCAGUGAUUUAUUUAUGGGAUUUUAGAAGAAAAGAAGAUGAAAUAAAAUAGGAAAAAAUUUAAUUCUUUCAACUGAAAGAAUUCAAACAAAGGAUUGGACUAAGAGAAAUAUUUGAUGAAAAGAGAAGGGAAAAGAAGAGAGAGGAAGACGAACC